rnacentral:rRNA from 1 species
UGUGUGAAUAUUGCACAAUGGGCGCAAGCCUGAUGCAGCCAUGCCGCGUGUGUGAAGAAGGCCUUAGGGUUGUAAAGCACUUUCAGCGAGGAGGAAGGCAUCAAAGUUAAUAGCUUUGGUGAUUGACGUUACUCGCAAAAAAAGCACCGGCUAACUCCGUGCCAGCAGCCGCGGUAAAUAAAAAAA